AGUGAACGCUGGCGGUAGGCCUAACACAUGCAAGUCGAACGGCAGCACAGUAAGAGCUUGCUCUUACGGGUGGCGAGUGGCGGACGGGUGAGGAAUACAUCGGAAUCUACUUUUUCGUGGGGGAUAACGUAGGGAAACUUACGCUAAUACCGCAUACGACCUACGGAUGAAAGCAGGGGAUCUUCGGACCUUGCGCGAUUGAAUGAGCCGAUGUCGGAUUAGCUAGUUGGCGGGGUAAAGGCCCACCAAGGCGACGAUCCGUAGCUGGUCUGAGAGGAUGAUCAGCCACACUGGAACUGAGACACGGUCCCGACUCCUAAGGGAGGCAGCAGUGGGGAAUAUUGGACAAUGGGCGCAAGCCUGAUCCAGCCAUACCGCGUGGGUGAAGAAGGCCUUCGGGUUGUAAAGCCCUUUUGUUGGGAAAGAAAAGCAGCAGGUUAAUACCCCGCUGUUCUGACGGUACCCAAAGAAUAAGCACCGGCUAACUUCGUG
rnacentral:rRNA from 1 species